rnacentral:rRNA from 1 species
ACGGGUGAGUAAUGUCUGGGAAACUGCCCGAUGGAGGGGGAUAACUACUGGAAACGGUAGCUAAUACCGCAUAACGUCUUCGGACCAAAGUGGGGGACCUUCGGGCCUCACACCAUCGGAUGUGCCCAGAUGGGAUUAGCUAGUAGGUGGGGUAACGGCUCACCUAGGCGACGAUCCCUAGCUGGUCUGAGAGGAUGACCAGCCACACUGGAACUGAGACACGGUCCAGACUCCUACGGGAGGCAGCAGUGGGGAAUAUUGCACAAUGGGCGCAAGCCUGAUGCAGCCAUGCCGCGUGUAUGAAGAAGGCCUUCGGGUUGUAAAGUACUUUCAGUGGGGAGGAAGGCGAUGGAGUUAAUAGCUUCGUCGAUUGACGUUACCCGCAGAAGAAGCACCGGCUAACUCCGUGCCAGCAGCCGCGGUAAUACGGAGGGUGCAAGCGUUAAUCGGAAUUACUGGGCGUAAAGCGCACGCAGGCGGUCUGUCAAGUCGGAUGUGAAAUCCCCGGGCUCAACCUGGGAACUGCAUUCGAAACUGGCAGGCUAGAGUCUUGUAGAGGGGGGUAGAAUUCCAGGUGUAGCGG